rnacentral:rRNA from 1 species
GUCUACGGCCAAACCACCCCAAACACGCCCGAUCUCAUCUGAUCUCAGAAGCUAAGCUUGGUCGGGCCUGGUUAGUACUUGGAUGGGAGAGAUGAUUGGAGGUUUUGAGCAGUGGCUG